rnacentral:lncRNA from 1 species
GCACAUUCCGCAGAUGAAAGAUCUGUGAGAGUCUGAGACGUUCGGGACACACUUCUGAUUUUGCGGGGUCUCUCUCUUUUCCGAAUUCUUCGUCCGCUGUUUACAGAACACCAGCCACAGUGUUUGGGGAUGCACGGGAAUGAGAAACAGUCCCUCCUUUCAGGGAUCUUCCAAUCCGGCGGGUGGAGGAGCAGGAACUGAAGAAGAGGUUGAAGAUGGGACAGUUGGAACAGUGAAAAGACAGCAGCCGUGUAUCGAUACACAGACUCAGGGCCAGAGAAGACAAGAAAAUGAAGCCCCUGGAGGAAAUUAUCGACUGAAACAGAACAAAAGGAUCCUGGUUAAGCCCCUGCCCUGCCCCGGCAAAAUCCAGUGGAAGUGAUGUUCAAGUACACCCUGGCUAAUGGCCGGGGGAAUGGAAAAAUGAAUGUGAGUGUUGCUGGUCCCAUUCCCACUUUUCAGAAAGGGUUCUUCUUGAUGAUUGCUGUGCUGCGUUAAUACUUUCGGGCCAGCUCUAAGAGAAUGUCACAAACACUCACAGACUCUGGACUUCUUGACUGCAAGUUUCCUUCCCUUCACAUCAGAGGCCGCACUAUUACUGUUUAGCACAGUGCUUCGGUGGUUCCUUCCACAAGUCCCUGACCAAAAAGAUAACAUCUAAAUCUACAGUAGAGGAAAGAAAGUGAUACGUCCAGCAACUAUUUCUCAGAGAACUCUCUUUUAACUGGUAAGAGUGCUGGAAGCCAGUCCCCUUUCCAUAGCAUAGCAUCAUAUCUGAAACCACCUUACAGAGGCCCCAUAACGAGCAGGAAUGACAGAACUGCC